AUGGAUGUUGAUUCUUGCAAGGGGACUGAAAUACUUCCGGACUUUGAUUGGAGUAUACCUCCAUCCUCCCCUGAUGUUGUUUCCAAUGGCAUUGACACUAGUGACCAAUGUUGUCACUUUCUGAACCCAGCAAGAAGAGUUUGUUGUGAGGGCUAUGACUAUGGUCGUAUAUUUCUUGUCUGUCCUGUUGAGGGUUAUGAUACAUGUGCUUAUCUGAAGCGGGUGGACAAAGAAUGGCAAGGGAGGCCUAGGAAGGUGAUUGGCAAACUUGCUCAAGAGAAUGUGGCUCUUCAGAAAUUUGUCUUUGACAAGGAUGCUGAAAUUAUGAGGCUGAAGGAAGAGAGCGAGGCCAUGAUCAUGAAGCACAAGAAGGAGAUCAGAACUAGGGAUAGGAGGAAAAUUUGGUUAACCUGUUUGGUCUGCUGCUCUACACUGUUUAAUGGUGUUGUAGCUCUAGUGAUAAAAGGUUUUGUGUAA
rnacentral:rRNA from 1 species